rnacentral:rRNA from 1 species
UGCCAGCCGCCGCGGUAAGACAGAGGGUGCGAGCGUUGUUCGGAAUUAUUGGGCGUAAAGAGCGCGUAGGCGGUUUGGUAAGUCAGAUGUGAAAGCCCUGGGCUCAACCCAGGAAGUGCAUUUGAUACUACCAGACUUGAGUAUGGGAGAGGAGAGUGGAAUUCCCAGUGUAGAGGUGAAAUUCGUAGAUAUUGGGAGGAACACCCGUGGCGAAGGCGACUCUCUGGACCAAUACUGACGCUGAGGCGCGAAAGCGUGGGGAGCAAACAGGAUUAGAUA